GGGUUGUGGCUCAGUGGUAGAGCUCUUGCCUAGCAUGUGUGAAGCCCUGGGUUUGAUUCUCAGCCCUG
rnacentral:tRNA from 1 species